rnacentral:tRNA from 1 species
GGGGAUUUAGCUCAGUGGUAGAGCGCUUGCCUAGCAAACGCAAGGCCAUGUGUUCAGUCCCCA